UACGUAGGGUGCAAGCGUUGUCUGGAAUUAUUGGGCGUAAAGAGCUCGUAGGCGGCUUGUCGCGUCGGCUGUGAAAACCUGGGGCUCAACCCCGGGCCUGCAGCCGAUACGGGCAAGCUAGAAUUCGGUAGGGGAGACUGGAAUUCCUGGUGUAGCGGUGAAAUGCGCAGAUAUCAGGAGGAACACCGGUGGCGAAGGCGGCGACCUGGGUCGAUACUGACGCUGAUGCGCGAAAGCGUGGGGACCAAACAGG
rnacentral:rRNA from 1 species